AUACGUAGGUGGCGAGCGUUGUCCGGAUUUACUGGGUGUAAAGGGCGUGUAGGCGGAGAUGCAAGUCAGGAGUGAAAUCUAGGGGCUCAACCCCUAAACUGCUUUUGAAACUGUAUCCCUUGAGUAUCGGAGAGGCAGGCGGAAUUCCUAGUGUAGCGGUGAAAUGCGUAGAUAUUAGGAGGAACACCAGUGGCGAAGGCGGCCUGCUGGACGACAACUGACGCUGAGGCGCGAAAGCGUGGGGAGCAAACAGGAUUAGAUACCCUGGUAGUCCACGCUGUAAACGAUGAAUACUAGGUGUGGGGGGACUGACCCCCUCCGUGCCGCAGUUAACACAAUAAGUAUUCCACCUGGGGAGUACGAUCGCAAGAUUGAAACUCAAAUGAAUUGACGGGG
rnacentral:rRNA from 1 species